GCUUCAGGGCGGAGUGAAAUUCUCCACCGGCGGUAAAGCCCGCCAGCCUUAUUCAAGGCUGAUUCGGUGAAAUUCCGAAGCCGACGGUAACAGUCCGGAUAAAAGAGGU
rnacentral:ncRNA from 1 species